GUCUCAAAAAAAAAAAAAGAAAACUCAUUAUUGGCCAGACACAGUGGCUCACACCUGUAAUCCUAGCACCUUGGGAAGCUGAGGCAGGAUAACUGCUAGAGGCCAGGAGUUUGAGACCAGCUUGAGCACCAUAGCCAGACCCUAUAUGUAGCCAGGCAAAAUGGUGUGUGCCUGUGAAGGGAGGAUUCACUUGAGUCCAGGAGGUUGAGGCUGCAGUAAGUGGUGAUUGCGCCAUUGUCCUCCAGCUUGGGUGAUAGAGUGAGACUCUGUCUCAAAAAAAAAAAAAGAAAAGAAAGAAACCUCAUAUUUAUAUAGCUCUAAACCACUGUGAGUUAGGUAGAAUUUGGGGGAAGGCUCUCUAACCUAUUCUUAGUAUGGCCAGACCACCCUUUCCUCCUUUCAGAUCUUACUGUUUUGUUUGCAGAGAUGGACUUCAAGGCCAAAAGGCAUACUGUGUUAGGGUCUGUGUCAGGCAGCCCCUUUUGGGUUCCAAGAGCAGAGGAAGAUGAGGCUGUGUGAGGGAAGACCAUAGGAUGAUAGAGAAUUGGUACCGGGCACAGUGGCUCAUGCCCAUAAUCCUAGCACUUUGGAAGGUUGAAGCAGGUGGAUCACUUGAGGCCAAGAGUUCAAGACCAGCCUGGCCAAUGUGGCAAAACCCUGUCUC
rnacentral:lncRNA from 10 species